rnacentral:telomerase_RNA from 11 species
GUGCGGACGGGCUGCGUGGGCGGGUCGGUCCGUCCUGGCACAUCUAACCCUAAAUGCGCGCUGGUUGAAGUGGCUUCUCCUGGGCGAUCGCUCGCUGUUUUUGUGGCUGGCUUUCAGCGGGCUGGAGGAGCCGGGAGCGGAGGCGGAGGACCGAGCCAAAAACGUCAGCCGAGGCCGGGCGGCCCCGCUCGUGGCCCGUCCGCACUGUCCGGGCCAGGCCCCGGCCCGAACCCCCUGGAGACAACUCCCGCAGGGUCUGCGCUGCGCCGCGGAGCCCCGGCUGCCCACGUAGAGGCGGCGGCCGUCUCGGGGCCCCUGCGUGCGGGGCGCCCACUGCGGCCGCCAAGAGCUCGUCUCUGUCAGCCUCGGGUGCACGUGGGCCCGCGGUCGAGCCCUAAGGCCGGGCGUGGGGCUGGGGUCGCAGGGAGAGUAACCGUGAGCCGGCGCCCAGCCUUCAGGGCGCUCCCUCGAGCUAUGGGAGCUGCCCCCGGGCACGGCUCGGACACCC